rnacentral:tRNA from 1 species
GGUUGUGGCACAGAGGUAGAGCACUUGCCUAGCAUGCGUGAGGCACUGGGUUCGAUCCUCAGCACCA